rnacentral:rRNA from 1 species
UUAAGCAUAUCAAUAAGCGGAGGAAA